rnacentral:tRNA from 1 species
AGAAACUUAGGUUAAUCACUAGACCAAGGGCCUUCAAAGCCCUAAGCGAGGGUGAAACUCCCCCAGCUUCUG